rnacentral:misc_RNA from 1 species
GGAUACCGACGACAACAAGAAGCAAUUCAUAGCUAAUUCUGCAAGAAUAACAAUCCUCCACUCUUAAAACUUAAGCCUUGAGAUUGAAAAUGGCAAUGAUUACAAGCUUCUUCGGUAACCCAACAAGCAGCAUUUUCGAUCCCUUCUCUUCUUUUGCUCUGCGGGAUCCAUUCAAGGACUUUCCGUUCCCUUCUUCUUCUGGUGAAAAUUUGGCCUUUGCUAACACUCGCAUGGACUGGAAGGAGACUCCAGAAGCUCAUAUCUUCAAGGCCGACCUUCCUGGGCUCAAAAAAGAGCAAGUGAAAGUUGAAAUUGAAGAUGCCAGAGUGCUGCAAAUCAGCGGAGAGAGGAAUGUG